UACGGAGGGUGCAAGCGUUGUCCGGAUUCAUUGGGUUUAAAGGGUGCGCAGGCGGGCCAUUAAGUCAGGGGUGAAAGACGGUAGCUUAACUAUCGCAGUGCCUUUGAUACUGAUGGGCUUGAAUGUACUUGAGGUAGGCGGAAUGUGACAAGUAGCGGUGAAAUGCAUAGAUAUGUCACAGAACACCAAUUGCGAAGGCAGCUUACUAAAGUAUGAUUGACGCUGAGGCACGAAAGCGUGGGGAUCAAACAGG
rnacentral:rRNA from 1 species